GACGAACGCUGGCGGCGUGCUUAACACAUGCAAGUCGAACGGAAAGGCCCUGCUUUUGUGGGGUGCUCGAGUGGCGAACGGGUGAGUAACACGUGAGUAACCUGCCCUUGACUUUGGGAUAACUUCAGGAAACUGGGGCUAAUACCGGAUAGGAGCUCCUGCUGCAUGGUGGGGGUUGGAAAGUUUCGGCGGUUGGGGAUGGACUCGCGGCUUAUCAGCUUGUUGGUGGGGUAGUGGCUUACCAAGGCUUUGACGGGUAGCCGGCCUGAGAGGGUGACCGGCCACAUUGGGACUGAGUUACGGCCCAGACUCCAACGGGGGGAAGCGGGGGGAAUAUUGCACAAUGGGCGGAAGCCUGAUGCAGCAACGCCGCGUGCGGGAUGACGGCCUUCGGGUUGUAAACCGCUUUCGCCUGUGACGAAGCGUGAGUGACGGUAAUGGGUAAAGAAGCACCGGCUAACUACGUG
rnacentral:rRNA from 1 species